rnacentral:rRNA from 1 species
AGCGAACGCUGGCGGCAGGCCUAACACAUGCAAGUCGAACGAAGUCUUCGAACUUAGUGGCGGACGGGUGAGUAACACGUGGGAACGUGCCUUUAGGUUCGGAAUAACUCAGGGAAACUUGUGCUAAUACCGAAUGUGCCCUUCGGGGGAAAGAUUUAUCGCCUUUAGAGCGGCCCGCGUCUGAUUAGCUAGUUGGUGAGGUAAAGGCUCACCAAGGCUACGAUCAGUAGCUGGUCUGAGAGGAUGACCAGCCACAUUGGGACUGAGACACGGCCCAAACUCCUACGGGAGGCAGCAGUGGGGAACCUUGCGCAAUGGGCGAAAGCCUGACGCAGCCAUGCCGCGUGGAUGAUGAAGGUCUUAGGAUUGUAAAAUCCUUUCACCGGUGAAGAUAAUGACUGUAGCCGGAGAAGAAGCCCCGGCUAACUUCGUGCCAGCCGCCGCGGUAAAAC